GACGAACGCUGGCGGCGUGCUUAACACAUGCAAGUCGAACGGAAAGGCCCCUUCGGGGGUACUCGAGUGGCGAACAGGUGAGUAACACGUGAGUAACCUGCCCUUGACUUCGGGAUAACUUCAGGAAACUGGGGCUAAUACCGGAUAGGAAUCCUUGCUGCAUGGUGGGGGUUGGAAAGCUUCGGCGGUUUUGGAUGGACUCGCGGCUUAUCAGCUUGUUGGUGGGGUAGUGGCUUACCAAGGCUUUGACGGGUAGCCGGCCUGAGAGGGCGACCGGCCACAUUGGGACUGAGAUACGGCCCAGACUCCUACGGGAGGCAGCAGUGGGGAAUAUUGCACAAUGGGCGGAAGCCUGAUGCAGCAACGCCGCGUGCGGGAUGACGGCCUUCGGGUUGUAAACCGCUUUCAGCAGGGGCGAAGCUUGUGGUGACGGUACCUGCAGAAGAGGCACCGGCUAACUACG
rnacentral:rRNA from 1 species